AUAUGCAAAAUAAAAA
rnacentral:sRNA from 1 species